CAAUUUUAUUUUAGACAAAAAAAUAUUGUGAUUAUGUUUUUACAUUUAUAUUUGGAAUUGAAGUAAUCUUAAAGGUAAUAGACGAUGGAUUUAUUUUACACAAAGGAGCUUAUAUACGCAAUCCAUGGAAUAAACUUGAUGCUUUGAUUUUUGUGUGUAAUUUGUCAUCAGUAAUUUUCUCAAUCACAUUACAAAAUGACAAAUCAACUAGUUCAGCCUCAGCAUUUCUGCGGUAUUUUACAUUGCUGCGACCAAUUAAAGCUAUCCAAAAAGUAAAGAAACUAAAAGUUGUUU